UGCGUAGGUGGUUCGUUAAGUCUGAUGUGAAAGCCCUGGGCUCAACCUGGGAAUUGCAUUGGAAACUGGCGGGCUAGAGUACGGUGGAGGGUAGUGGAAUUCCUGGUGUAGCAGUGAAAUGCGUAGAGAUCAGGAGGAACAUCCGUGGCGAAGGCGACUACCUGGACCAGUACUGACACUGAGGCACGAAAGCGUGGGGAGCAAACA
rnacentral:rRNA from 1 species